rnacentral:rRNA from 1 species
GACAGAGGUGCCAAGCGUUUAGGCGGAAUCACUGGGCUUAAAGCGUGUGUAGGCGGAAUUGUAAGUACCUUGUGAAAUCCCACGGCUCAACCGUGGAACUGCUCGGUAUACUGCUUUUCUUGAGCCACUUAGGGGCUACCGGAACAAAUGGUGGAGCGGUGAAAUGCGUAGAUAUUAGGAGGAACACCGGUGGCGAAGGCGGCCAUCUGGACCGAUACUGACGCUGAGGCGCGAAAGCGUGGGGAGCAAACAGGAUAGAUACCC